rnacentral:rRNA from 1 species
AGGGCGUAUGGGGAAUGCCUAGGGUCUCAGAGGCGAUGAAGGACGUGAUAAGCUGCGAAAAGCUGCGGGGAUUGGCACACACAAUUUGAUCCGCAGAUAUCCGAAUGGGGAAACCCACUAUAUUGAAGAUAUAGUAUCCGAAAGGAAGCGAACCCGGAGAACUGAAACAUCUAAGUACCCGGAGGAGAAGAAAACAAAAGUGAUUCCGAUAGUAGCGGCGAGCGAAAUUGGAACAGCCCAAACCAGUGUUGUUACGGCAAUACUGGGGUUGUAGGACCACGACAUUCGAAUUGCAAUGAACUAGAAUACUUUGGAAAAAGUAGCCAUAGACGGUGAUAGCCCGGUAUAGGUAAAGAACAGUAAGAUAGUGGUAUCCUGAGUAGUGCGGGGCACGUGAAACCCUGUAUGAAUCCGGCGGGACCAUCCGCCAAGGCUAAAUACUCCUGAGAGACCGAUAGUGAACUAGUACCGUGAGGGAAAGGUGAAAAGAACCCUGAAUAAGGGAGUGAAAUAGAUCCUGAAACCAUACGCUUACAAGCGGUCGGAGCCCUUUGGGGUGACGGCGUGCCUUUUGCAUAAUGAGCCUACGAGUUAACGUUGCUAGCAAGGUUAAGUACUUAAGGUACGAAGCCGUAGCGAAAGCGAGUCUGAAUAGGGCGAAUCAGUUAGCAGUGUUAGACGCGAAACCGUGUGAUCUACCCAUGGGCAGGGUGAAGCUGUAGUAACAUACAGUGGAGGCCCGAACCGAUAUACGUUGAAAAGUGUUCGGAUGACCUGUGGGUAGGGGUGAAAGGCCAAUCAAACUCGGAGAUAGCUGGUUCUCCCCGAAAUGCAUUUAGGUGCAGCGUUGAUUUAUAGUUUUAUAGAGGUAGAGCUACUGAUUGGAUGCGGGGGCUUCACCGCCUACCAAUUCCUGACAAACUCCGAAUGCUAUAUAAUGAUAAUCAGCAGUGAGGGCAUGGGUGCUAAGGUCCAUGUCCGAGAGGGAAACAACCCAGACCGUCAGCUAAGGUCCCAAAGUGUAUGCUAAGUUGAAUAAACGAGGUUUGACUGCCCAGACAGCUAGGAUGUUGGCUUGGAAGCAGCCAUUCAUUUAAAGAGUGCGUAACAGCUCACUAGUCGAGCGGUCGAGCAUGGAUAAUAAUCGGGCAUAAGCAUAUCACCGAAGCUAUGGCAUCGAAAGAUGGGUAGGGGAGCAUUGUAGCGACGUUGAAGGUAAACUGUAAGGUUUGCUGGAGUCUCUACAAAAGAAAAUGUAGGCAUAAGUAACGACAAUGCGGGCGAGAAACCCGCACACCGAAAGACUAAGGUUUCCUCAGCUAUGCUAAUCAGCUGAGGGUUAGUCGGGACCUAACGCGAACCCGAAAGGGGUAGUCGAUGGACAACAGGUUAAUAUUCCUGUACCUGCUCUCAUUAAAAGUGACGGAUUGCCCAGAUAUCUACGUGGUGACGGAAGUCCACGUUGAGCAUAGCCUUCGGGCGAAGCGAAGAUAAGUAAGCAGUUCCUAGAAAAGCGAGAGAAGCAGCCCGUACCGCAAACCGACACAGGUAGUUGGGAUGAGUAUUCUAAGGUGCUCGAGAGAUUCAUGGCUAAGGAACUAGGCAAAAUCGACCCGUAACUUCGGGAGAAGGGUCGCCACGUUUCGACGUGGCCGCAGUGAAAAGAUCCAGGCGACUGUUUAUCAAAAACACAGGACUCUGCUAAAUCGAAAGAUGACGUAUAGGGUCUGACACCUGCCCGGUGCCGGAAGGUUAAGUGGAGUUGUUAGCUUCGGCGAAGCAAUCAAAUGAAGCCCCGGUAAACGGCGGCCGUAACUAUAACGGUCCUAAGGUAGCGAAAUUCCUUGUCGGGUAAGUUCCGACCUGCACGAAUGGUGCAACGAUCUGGACACUGUCUCAGCCAUGAGCUCGGUGAAAUUGUAGUAUCGGUGAAGAUGCCGAUUACCCGCUGUGGGACGAAAAGACCCCGUGCACCUUUACUAUAGCUUAGUAUUGGUUUUGGAUAAGUAAUGUGUAGGAUAGGUGGGAGACUUUGAAGUGGCGUCGCUAGGCGUUGUGGAGUCAUUGUUGAAAUACCACCCUUUGCUUAUCUAGAGUCUAACUUUCCUUGAAAGGACAGUGCUUGGUGGGUAGUUUGACUGGGGUGGUCGCCUCCAAAAGAGUAACGGAGGCUU